rnacentral:lncRNA from 1 species
UUGCAGUCUCUGGCUCUCACCACAAGACUACACUGCCUCUUUUCCUCUCCAGUGACUCUUGCAUUUUCCUUUCUUCUUGUGCUUUCUCCUCACCCCAAUGAGCUCUAAGAGGAGGGAGCUAAUAAUACAGUUUAAGAAGGAGAGAUGGGACAGGCUUCUCUGUGCAGAUAAAGUGAGCGCUGUCUGGACAUCGGUGGGAAGAUUAGCUGUCUGGACUUCAGAUCCCUUCUUGACUCAUGGCAGUGCUCAGCAUCCUCUGUUCUUUGUUAAUGAUGUCGGGCUUGUCUGUAAGAGCAGCUCACAGGAGGAGGCAGCCAGG